GAAAAAGCUGACGACUGAAGCCCCGGUGAACGGCGGCUGUAACUCUGACAGUCCUAAGGUAGCGAAAUUCCUUGUCGAGUAAGUUUCGACCCGCACGAAAGACGUAACGAUCUGGGCACUGUCUCGGAGAGAGACUCGGUGAAAUAGAAAUGUCUGUGAAGAUGCGGACUACUUAUACCAGGACAGAAAGACCCUAUGAAGCUUGACUGUAAUUUGGAAUUGGGUUCGGGCUUUUUUUGCGCAGUCUAGGUGGGAGGCGUUGAUAUUAAGUUUUCGGACUUAAUGGAGCCAUCAGUGAGAGACCACUCUAAAAGAGCUAGAAUUCUAAUAGGACUCCUUGAAUCAGGAUCCUUGACAGUUUCAGAUGGACAGUUUGACUGGGGCGGUGACCUCCCAAAAGGUAACGGAGGUGUGCAAAGGUUCCCUCAAGCUGGACGGAAAUCAGCUGUAGAGUGCAAAGGUAUAAGGGAGCUUGACUGCAAGACCAACAAGUCGAGCAGAGGCGAAAGCCGGCCUUAGUGAUCCGACGGUUCCGAGUGGAAGGGCCGUCGCUCAACGGAUAAAAGUUACUCUAGGGAUAACAGGCUGAUCUCCCCCAAGAGUUCACAUCGACGGGGAGGUUUGGCACCUCGAUGUCGUUUCAUCGCAACCUGGGGCUGGAGUAGGUCCCAAGGGUUGGGCUGUUCGCCCAUAAAAGCGGUACGUGAGAUGGGUUCAGAACGUCGCGAGACAGUUCGGUCCAUAUCCGGUAUAAGCGUAAGAGCAUUGAGAGGAUCUCAACAUUGUACGAGAGGACCCGAAGGGACGUACCGAUGGUGUACCAGUUCUUAUGCCAAUAGGAAACGCUGGGUAGCUAUGUACGGAGUGGAUAAUCGCUGAAAGCAUUUAAGUGAGAAGCCCACCUCAAGAUGAAUGCUCUCUAUCAGAUCGCGGCAAGACAAGCCGAUAGAUUGGCAUCAAGUGUAAGAUUAGUAAUAAUUUCAGCUGAGAUGUACAAAAGAUCGAUUGAUUUUGACCUUAUAUA
rnacentral:rRNA from 1 species